rnacentral:rRNA from 1 species
CAAUAGCGUAUAUUAAAGUUGUUGCAGUUAAAAAGCUCGUAGUUGGACUUCUGGCUUGGUGUGGCGGGUCUCCGCAAGGGGUACACUGCAGCGCCGAGCCUUCUUCUCGUAGUCGUGUGGUGCACUUAACUGGGUGCCAUGUGAAUAUGGGACCUUUACUUUGAAAAAAUUAGAGUGUUCAAAGCAGGCCUUCGCUUGAAUACAUUAGCAUGGAAUAAUGGAAUAGGACUUGGGUUCUAUUUUGUUGGUUUCUAGGACCGAGGUAAUGAUUAAUAGGGUAGUUGGGGGCGAUUCGUAUUUAAUUGUCAGAGGUGAAAUUCUUGGAUUUAUGAAAGACGAACUUCUGCGAAAGCAUUUGUCCAAGGAUGUUUUCAUUAAUCAAGAACGAAAGUUAGGGGAUCGAAGAUGAUCAGAUACCAU